rnacentral:lncRNA from 1 species
CUGAACUUUAAGGUGUAUGAAGUGUCCUUUCUUAUCUUCUAUUUUAAUUUUAGUAAGUGGAUAAAGAGUCCAUUUAACUUAAGUUGAUCUAGGCCAGAAGCAUAACUUUAAGGUGUAUGAAGUGUCAUUUCUUAUCUUCUAUUUUAAUUUUAGUAAGUGGAUAAAGAGUCCAUUUAACUUAAGUUGAUCUAGGCCAGAAGCAUACCUACGUCAAGAUAAUCCUUUUUUGAAACACUUUGGUAGUGCUCUUUUAUUUUUAUACAAAUAAAAAAGAAGAGCAUAGGGAAUCAUCUCUUUAUUCUUUACUGUAAAAAAAAAGAUGGUGGACUAACUAAUAGUUUUAUCAGUUAAUGAAAAAGCUCAAUGCAAAAAAAAAUGCAUGUUGGGUUUUGAAAACAAUUUAAAUCAUAUA